AACGAACGCUGGCGGCAUGCCUAACACAUGCAAGUCGAACGAGAUCUUCGGAUCUAGUGGCGCACGGGUGCGUAACGCGUGGUAAUCUGCCCCUUGCUUCGCAAUAUCAGUGAGAAAUUAUUGCUAAUACCGGAUGAUGUCUUCGUACCAAAGAUUUAUCGGCAGGGGAUGAGCCCGCGUAGGAUUAGGUAGUUGGUGGGGUAAUCGCCUGUCAAGCCGACGAUCCUUAGCUGGUCUGAGAGGAUGGUCAGCCACACUGGGACUGAGACACGGCCCAGACUCCUACGGGGGGCAGCAGUGGGAAAUAUUGGACAAUGAGCCAGAGUCUGGUCCAGCAAUGCCGCGUGAGGGAUGAAGUCCUUGGGGUUGGACAGCUCUUUUACCAGGGAGGAUAAUGACAGUACCUGAAGAAUAAGCUCCGGCUAACUCCGUG
rnacentral:rRNA from 1 species